UACGUAAGGGGCAAGCGUUGUCCGGAAUCACUGGGCGUAAAGCGCACGUAGGCGGCUUUUUAAGUCAGGGGUGAAAUCCCGGAGCUCAACUCCGGAACUGCCUUUGAUACUGAAAAGCUUGAGUUCGGGAGAGGUGAGUGGAACUGCGAGUGUAGAGGUGAAAUUCGUAGAUAUUCGCAAGAACACCAGUGGCGAAGGCGGCUCACUGGCCCGAUACUGACGCUGAGGUGCGAAAGCGUGGGGAGCAAACAGG
rnacentral:rRNA from 1 species